rnacentral:rRNA from 1 species
CCUACGGGGGGCAGCAGUGAGGAAUAUUGGUCAAUGGACGAGAGUCUGAACCAGCCAAGUAGCGUGAAGGAUGACUGCCCUAUGGGUUGUAAACUUCUUUUAUAUGGGAAUAAAAUGUUCCACGUGUGGGAUUUUGUAUGUAACAUAUGAAUAAGGAUCGGCUAACUCCGUGCCAGCAGCCGCGGUAAUACGGAGGAUCCGAGCGUUAUCCGGAUUUAUUGGGUUUAAAGGGAGCGUAGGUGGAUUGUUAAGUCAGUUGUGAAAGUUUGCGGCUCAACCGUAAAAUUGCAGUUGAAACUGGCAGUCUUGAGUACAGUGGAGGUGGGCGGAAUUCGUGGUGUAGCGGUGAAAUGCUUAGAUAUCACGAAGAACUCCGAUUGCGAAGGCAGUUCACUGGACUGCAACUGACACUGAGGCUCGAAAGUGUGGGUAUCAAACAGGAUUAGAUACCCGAGUAGUC